rnacentral:rRNA from 1 species
CCUACGGGUGGCAGCAGUGGGGAAUCUUCCGCAAUGGGCGAAAGCCUGACGGAGCCACGCCGCGUGAUCGAAUGAAGGCCUUCGGGUUGUAAAGUUCUGUUGUCCGGGACGAAUAAGCAAUGCGAAUAGUUUUGUGUAUGUAGGUUCCUGUUUAGAAUGCUCCGGCUCACUACGUGCCAGCAGCCGCGGUAAGAGGUAGGGAGCAAGCGUUGUCCGGAUUUACUGGGAGUAAAGGGCGCGUGGGUGGGCGGUUAAGUCAGGUGUGAAAGCUCCGGGCUCAACCUGGAGACUGCACUUGAUACGGGUUGUCUGGAGAGCAGUAGAGGAAGGUGGAA